AUUGAACGCUGGCGGCAUGCUUUACACAUGCAAGUCGAACGGUAACAGGCCGCAAGGUGCUGACGAGUGGCGAACGGGUGAGUAAUGCAUCGGAACGUGCCCAGUCGUGGGGGAUAACGCAGCGAAAGCUGUGCUAAUACCGCAUACGAUCUAUGGAUGAAAGCGGGGGACCGUAAGGCCUCGCGCGAUUGGAGCGGCCGAUGUCAGAUUAGGUAGUUGGUGGGGUAAAGGCCCACCAAGCCAACGAUCUGUAGCUGGGCUGAGAGGACGCCCAGCCACACUGGGACUGAGACACGGCCCAGACUCGUACGGGAGGCAGCAGUGGGGAAUAUUGGACAAUGGGCGCAAGCCUGAUCCAGCAAUGCCGCGUGCAGGAAGAAGGCCUUCGGGUUGUAAACUGCUUUUGUACGGAACGAAAAGGUCUGGGUUAAUACCCUGGGCCGAUGACGGUACCGUAAGAAUAAGCACCGGCUAACUACGUGCCAGCCGCCGCAGUAA
rnacentral:rRNA from 1 species